rnacentral:rRNA from 1 species
CCUGGCGGUCAUAGCGGGCGGGAACCACCCGAUCCCAUUCCGAACUCGGAAGUGAAAACGCUCUGCGCCGAUGGUAGUUUGGCCGUAGGCCAGGUGAGAGUAGGUCACUGCCAGGA